rnacentral:rRNA from 1 species
AGAGUUUGAUCCUGGCUCAGGACGAACGCUGGCGGCGUGCUUAACACAUGCAAGUCGAACGGGACUGCAUCGCUCUUCGGGGUGGUGUGGUUUAGUGGCGAACGGGUGAGUAACACGUGACUAACCUGCCCCAGAGACGGGGAUAACAGCGGGAAACCGCUGCUAAUACCGGAUGUCCUCGCACUAUCGCAUGGUGGUGUGUGGAAAUGCUUUUGCGCUCUGGGUGGGGGUCGCGGGCUAUCAGCUUGUUGGUGGGGUAAUGGCUUACCAAGGCUUCGACGGCUCGCUGGUCUGAGAGGACGACCAGCCACACUGGGACUGAGACACGGCCCAGACUCCUGCGGGAGGCAGCAGUGGGGAAUCUUGCGCAAUGGGCGAAAGCCUGACGCAGCAACGCCGCGUGGGGGAUGAAGGCUUUCGGGUUGUAAACCCCUUUCAGCAGGGACGAUUGUGACGGUACCUGCAGAAGAAGCCCCGGCCAAAUACGUGCCAGCAGCCGCGGUAAUACGUAUGGGGCGAGCGUUGUCCGGAUUUAUUGGGCGUAAAGAGCUCGUAGGCGGCUUGGUAAGUCGGGUGUGAAAGCUCCAAGCUCAACUUGGAGAGGCCACUCGAUACUGUCAUGGCUUGAGUCCGGUAGGGGACCACGGAAUUCUUGGUGUAGCGGUGAAAUGCGCAGAUAUCAGGAGGAACACCAGUGGCGAAGGCGGUGGUCUGGGCCGGAACUGACGCUGAGGAGCGAAAGCGUGGGUAGCAAACAGGAUUAGAUACCCUGGUAGUCCACGCCGUAAACGUUGGGCACUAGGUGUGGGGCCUUAUUCAACGGGUUCCGUGCCGUAGCUAACGCAUUAAGUGCCCGCCUGGGGAGUACGGCCGCAGGCUAAACUCAAGGAUUGACGGGGGCCCGCACAGCGGCGGAGCAUGUUG